rnacentral:rRNA from 1 species
UAAAGCGUGCGUAGGCGGCUUUUUAAGUCGGAUGUGAAAUCCCCGAGCUUAACUUGGGAAUUGCAUUCGAUACUGGGAAGCUAGAGUAUGGGAGAGGAUGGUAGAAUUCCAGGUGUAGCGGUGAAAUGCGUAGAGAUCUGGAGGAAUACCGAUGGCGAAGGCAGCCAUCUGGCCUAAUACUGACGCUGAGGUACGAAAGCAUGGGGAGCAAACAGGAUUAGAUACCCUGU